rnacentral:rRNA from 1 species
AGUGAACGCUGGCGGUAGGCCUAACACAUGCAAGUCGAACGGCAGCACAGUAAGAGCUUGCUCUUACGGGUGGCGAGUGGCGGACGGGUGAGGAAUACAUCGGAAUCUACAUUUUCGUGGGGGAUAACGUAGGGAAACUUACGCUAAUACCGCAUACGACCUACGGGUGAAAGCAGGGGAUCUUCGGACCUUGCGCGAUUGAAUGAGCCGAUGUCGGAUUAGCUAGUUGGCGGGGUAAAGGCCCACCAAGGCGACGAUCCGUAGCUGGUCUGAGAGGAUGAUCAGCCACACUGGAACUGAGACACGGUCCAGACUCCUACGGGAGGCAGCAGUGGGGAAUAUUGGACAAUGGGCGCAAGCCUGAUCCAGCCAUACCGCGUGGGUGAAGAAGGCCUUCGGGUUGUAAAGCCCUUUUGUUGGGAAAGAAAAGCAGCAGGUUAAUACCCCGCUGUUCUGACGGUACCCAAAGAAUAAGCACCGGCUAACUUCGU